rnacentral:rRNA from 1 species
AGUGAACGCUGGCGGUAGGCCUAACACAUGCAAGUCGAACGGCAGCACAGUAAGAGCUUGCUCUUACGGGUGGCGAGUGGCGGACGGGUGAGGAAUACAUCGGAAUCUACUUUUUCGUGGGGGAUAACGUAGGGAAACUUACGCUAAUACCGCAUACGACCUACGGGUGAAAUCAGGGGAUCUUCGGACCUUGCGCGAUUGAAAGAGCCGAUGUCGGAUUAGCUAGUUGGCGGGGUAAAGGCCCACCAAGGCGACGAUCCGUAGCUGGUCUGAGAGGAUGAUCAGCCACACUGGAACUGAGACACGGUCCAGACUCCUACGGGAGGCAGCAGUGGGGAAUAUUGGACAAUGGGCGCAAGCCUGAUCCAGCCAUACCGCGUGGGUGAAGAAGGCCUUCGGGUUGUAAAGCCCUUUUGUUGGGAAAGAAAAGCAGCAGGUUAAUACCCCGCUGUUCUGACGGUACCCAAAGAAUAAGCACCGGCUAACUUCGUG